rnacentral:rRNA from 1 species
UCGAGAAUCUUCGUCAAUGGGCGCAAGCCUGAACGAGCGACGCCGCGUGCGGGAUGAAGGCCUUCGGGUUGUAAACCGCUGUCAGUGGGGAGGAAGGCUCCGUGAAGAGCGGGGUUUGACCUAUCCGCAGAGGAAGUACGGGCUAAGUUCGUGCCAGCAGCCGCGGUAACACGAACCGUACAAACGUUAUUCGGAAUUACUGGGCUUAAAGGGUGCGUAGGCGGCUCAGAAAGUUGGGUGUGAAAUCCCUCGGCUCAACCGAGGA